CAGUAGCCACGGGAAUACAGAGGAUGCAAGCGUUAUCCGGAAUGAUUGGGCGUAAAGCGUCUGUAGGUGGCUUUUCAAGUCAGAUGUGAAAUCCCCGGGCUCAACCUGGGAACUGCAUUUGAGACUGUAUGGCUAGAGUGUGUCAGAGGGGGGUAGAAUUCCACGUGUAGCAGUGAAAUGCGUAGAUAUGUGGAGGAAUACCGAUGGCGAAGGCAGCCCCCUGGGAUAACACUGACGCUCAUGCACGAAAGCGUGGGGAGCAAACAGGAUUAGAUACCCCGGUAGUCCCUGUCUCUUAUAA
rnacentral:rRNA from 1 species